AGUGGGAUAGCUGGGUCAAAUGGUGUUACCAUCUUUAGUUUUUUGAGGAAUCGCCAUGUUGCUUUCCAGAGUGGAUUGUACUAAUUUGCAGUCCCACCAACAAU
rnacentral:pre_miRNA from 1 species